rnacentral:rRNA from 1 species
UCACUGAGAUUGCCUUAGUAAUGGCGAAUGAACCGGCAAGAGCUCAUUGCUGAAGCGUGUUAGAUUCACUUUUAACAUGCAUUGUAGCAUUUGGGGUAACUAUUGUAUGGUGCCUAUUCGUGUGAGUUCCUUUGAUCAGGGCUUUAACCAUAGAAGGUGCUAGUCCUAUAAUCACGAAUAGUUAUGUGCUAUACAUUGUAUACCUUUCGAGUAGCGUAGUUUGAGAUUGCUACGCCAACGUGGGACGUAAACUUGUUCCAAAGCUAAAUAUUAUAACGAGACCGAUAGCGAACAAGUACCGUGAGGGAAAGUUGAAAAGCACUCUGAAGAGAGAGUUAAAUAGUACGUAAAACCGUACAGAAGAAAACGAAUGGCCGCAUUCAUCAGAUUACUUUGAAUUCAAUUCGAUCUCUAUAUGAUGGUGAUACAUGUUGAUUUGGAACUUCAACAGUCCAUUGAUAUGUUAUUGCCUAGAGUCGGAUGCAUUUUCAAAGUAUUAACUGAACCUGGAUCUAUAACAUUGAAAGCUAGUCGAAUCAGUCUAUUUUGGUAGCGAGUAUUACUCGUGUUAAAAAUAUGACUUGCAUAAAUAACAAAUUCGACUUGGCGUUAUAGGUAAACAGACAUGUUUUUUGAUUUCAGUACUUUCGAGUACGGCAUGCCAUGAGCAUUGUUUGUGUCACAUGAGUAACUAAUAUUUAACCAAUAUUAGUUUUAUUCAUUGUUGAUGCUUAAUGUUUUGUGGCUGUCAAUGAAAUUGGCAAGUCUACAGGAGUUUUGAAUGCCGAGUUAUUCGACCCGUCUUGAAACACGGUCUAAGGAGUUCACUGCAUGUGCAAGAGUUCGGCUGUAUGAAAAGCCUUGCUCGUAAUGAAAGUAAAGAACAUUCUUGCAAUGUUUGAAGUGUGAUUUCUGUCAUCUGGUGCAAAUCAUGACAAUGAACGCAACACUGACAGGUUCUAUUGCCGUUGGCAAAGAGCUUAGUAAGAGUAUAUGCAAUGAGACCCGAAAGAUGGUGAACUUAAUGUGUGUAGAAUGAAGCCAGGGGAAACCCUGGUGGAAGUUCGUAGCGGUUCUGACGUGCAAAUCGAUCGUCAAAC